CAGUCGCCGCGGUAAUACGUAGGGUGCAAGCGUUAAUCGGAAUUACUGGGCGUAAAGCGUGCGCAGGCGGUUUGUUAAGACAGAUGUGAAAUCCCCGGUCUCAACCUGGGAACUGCAUUUGUGACUGGCAAGCUAGAGUCUGGCAGAGGGGGGUGGAAUUCCGCGUGUAGCAGUGAAAUGCGUAGAUAUGCGGAGGAACACCGAUGGCGAAGGCAGCCCCCUGGGCCAACACUGACGCUCAUGCACGAAAGCGUGGGGAGCAAACAGGAUUAGAUACCCGCGUAGUCCCUGUCUCUUAUAC
rnacentral:rRNA from 1 species